CAUAAAAAAUUCCAAAUUGAAGAAGAAUUGAGAAGAAGCUGACCGGGAGCCGUGGACAAAAAAAAUCAAAAAAGGGUAUUUUGUAUACAAAUGUCGUGGCAUAAUAAUAAUUUAAUGGGUAUAUGCUAAUGCAUAUAAAAAAUUAAAUGAUGUUAAAACCAAACCUAUUGUGAACAUGGUGAGUUAUCGCAAAAAAAUUCAUAAAGACUGGCCAAAUUUCGUCCUCCAUGGACAAAAUUCACAAGGGCCUUCAGCUGAUGACUUCAAAUGGGCAAAUACACAUUCAGACCAUAUGUGAACUGGGCAUUUUAAUGCGUGUAAUGAAAUUGAUUGUAGAAUCUUGAAAGUAGGUAACAAUCGUGCGGACAGACAAAAGGAUAGACAGAU